AACAGUUGGAAACGACUGCUAAUACCCCAUAAGCCGAGAGGUAAAAGGAUUUAUCCGGCAAUGGAGGUACUCGCGUCCUAUCAGCUAGUAGGUGAGGUAACGGCUCACCUAGGCGAAGACGGGUAGCCGGCCUGAGAGGGCGAACGGCCACACUGGAACUGAGAUACGGUCCAGACUCCUACGGGAGGCAGCAGUGGGGAGUAUUGGGCAAUGGGGGGAACCCUGACCCAGCGACGCCGCGUGGGUGAAGAAAUCCUUCGGGAUGUAAAGCCCUGUUGUAUGGGAAGAGCGGAAGACGGUACCAUACGAGGAAGCCCCGGCAAACUACGUGCCAGCAGCCGCGGUAAUACGUAGGGGGCAAGCGUUGUCCGGAAUUACUGGGCGUAAAGCGCACGCAGGCUGAAUUAUAAGUCGGUAGUAAAAGGCGGGGGCUCAACUUCCGUAUAUCUAUCGAUACUGUAAAUCUAGAGUAUGUGAGAGGGAAGCGGAGUUCCCGGUGUAGCGGUGAAAUGCGUAGAUAUCGGGAGGAACACCAGUGGCGAAGGCGGCUUCCUGGCACAAUACUGACGCUCAUGUGCGAAAGCUAGGGCAGCGAACGGGAUUAGAUACCCCGGUAGUCCUAGCCGUAAACGAUG
rnacentral:rRNA from 1 species